AACAGGAUUAGAUACCCUGGUAGUCCACGCCCUAAACGAUGUCAACUGGUUGUUGGGAGGGUUUCUUCUCAGUAACGUAGCUAACGCGUGAAGUUGACCGCCUGGGGAGUACGGCCGCAAGGUUGAAACUCAAAGGAAUUGACGGGGACCCGCACAAGCGGUGGAUGAUGUGGUUUAAUUCGAUGCAAUGCGAAAAACCUUACCUACCCUUGACAUGCCAGGAAUCCUGCAGAGAUGUGAGAGUGCUCGAAAGAGAACCUGGACACAGGUGCUGCAUGGCCGUCGUCAGCUCGCGUCGUGAGAUGUUGGGUUAAGUCCCGCAACGAGCGCAACCCUUGUCAUUAGUUGCUACGAAAGGGCACUCUAAUGAGACUGCCGGUGACAAACCGGAGGAAGGUGGGGAUGACGUCAGGUCAUCAUGGCCCUUAUGGGUAGGGCUACACACGUCAUACAAUGGCCGGGACAGAGGGCUGCCAACCCGCGAGGGGGAGCUAAUCCCAGAAACCCGGUCGUAGUCCGGAUCGCAGUCUGCAACUCGACUGCGUGAAGUCGGAAUCGCUAGUAAUCGCGGAUCAGCUUGCUGCGGUGAAUACGUUCCCGGGUCUUGUACACACCGCCCGUCACACCAUGGGAGCGGGUUCUGCCAGAAGUAGUUAGCCUAACCGCAAGGAGGGCGAUUACCACGGCAGGGUUCGUGACUGGGGUGAAGUCGUAACAAGGUAACC
rnacentral:rRNA from 1 species